CAAGUCCCUUAGUCGUAUCCGGUAGUCUGCAUCCAAGAUUCAACCUACCAUGGAUCAUAAACAUAGUACUGUACAUGAUCCGAGGUUGGUUGAAUCUGUGGAUGUGGAACAUGUGGAUACAGAGGGCUAACUGUCUAUC
ensembl:miRNA